UACGUAGGGGGCUAGCGUUAUCCGGAAUUACUGGGCGUAAAGGGUGCGUAGGUGGUUUCUUAAGUCAGAGGUGAAAGGCUACGGCUCAACCGUAGUAAGCCUUUGAAACUGGGGAACUUGAGUGCAGGAGAGGAGAGUGGAAUUCCAUGUGUAGCGGUGAAAUGCGUAGAUAUAUGGAGGAACACCGGUGGCGAAAGCGGCUCUCUGGCCUGUAACUGACACUGAGGCUCGAAAGCGUGGGGAGCAAACAGG
rnacentral:rRNA from 1 species